GUAAUUUUGGGUUUUCAUGAGCUGUAUGCCAAAAUCAUCAGUAUUAAAACAAUAAAAGACCUGAAAUAUUUCAGUUGGUGUGCAAUGAAUCUAAAAUAUAUGAAAGUUUAAUUUUUAUCAUUACAUUAUGGAAAAUAAUGAACUUUUUCACAAUAUGCUAAUUUUUUGAGAAGGACCUAUAUAUUAGCCAAGUUAGCCACAGGCUGCUGCUCUUCACUAACCCACAGAACUGGACUAGGAAUAUAUUAAUGUAGCAAGAUUGGUUAACAAAUAUUAUAAUUGUUUUUUUUAUUUUACUAUAAACUGUUCUGUUGUUGUAUGGUUGUUGUUUUUUACUGACCAUGAUCUAUAAAAGGCUGUUGUGGCUGUCUGUUACAGGAGAUUUCUCCAAGCAAAAACACGGAUGCUGAUUAUGAGGGACUCAUCAUAUGGCUAGUGUUCCAUUUUAUUGAAAUGUUGAAUUAGUUUGUGGUCUGGAUCAUGUGAUCUGCAAUACAUUCCGGUCCGAGGCUUUUACUUGUGAUUGCCAUCAUAAUGGUGAUAAAAUCAACUUGUUCAUUACAAGAAUCAACCCUGGUGCCACCAAAUGCCAUUCAAAGUCACAGAUCAGAUGCAAUUCAGAAAAGAAGAAGCAUCAGACUAAAUCCCCUCAUGGUGUUUCUCAUCAGAGAGCUUGUCAGCUUUGCCAAAAUUACUGAAAUUUAACACAACACAAACUAAUGUUUUACUGUAUUUUAUUUCUGUAAAGCCUGUUUUGGGGGGAUUGUGAUGAUGCCCUUUUUCAGCUAGUGCAAGCUAGAGGUCAAGACUGGUAAUUUGUAUUUUUAAAAAGAAAAUGUUCAACAAUUAAAAAUAAUAUUAUCAGGACAGAUGCUAAUGAGUUAUUGUGAUUUUUAUGGGGUUGGGGUUGUAAAAAAAAAAAUGGUUUACAGUGUUGUAUUGCAAUUGGAUUGUUUUAUACAGGUAAAAACUGCAAAUAAACUGAACAUUACUAACA
ensembl:lncRNA